rnacentral:rRNA from 1 species
UACGUAGGUGGCGAGCGUUGUCCGGAAUUACUGGGUGUAAAGGGCGUGUAGGCGGGAAGAUAAGUCAGAUGUGAAAUUCCACAGCUUAACUGUGGCGCUGCAUCUGAAACUAUUUUUCUUGAGUGCUGGAGAGGAAAGCGGAAUUCCUAGUGUAGCGGUGAAAUGCGUAGAUAUUAGGAGGAACACCAGUGGCGAAGGCGGCUUUCUGGACAGUAACUGACGCUGAGGCGCGAAAGCGUGGGGAGCAAACAGG